CCUACGGGAGGCAGCAGUGAGGAAUAUUGGUCAAUGGGCGCAGGCCUGAACCAGCCAAGUCGCGUGGGGGAAGACUGCCCUCUGGGUUGUAACCCUCUUUUAUAAGGGAAGAAUAAUGACUACGUGUAGUCAGAUGCCCGUACCUUAUGAAUCAGCAUCGGCUAACUCCGUGCCAGGAGCCGCGGUAAUACGGAGGAUGCGAGCGUUAUCCGGAUGUAUUGGGGUAAAAGGGUGCGUAGGAGGUAUGUUAAGCUAGUGGUAAAACGUCGGGGCUACACCUUGAUUUGCCAUUAAAACUGGAGUACUAGAGUACAGACGAGGUAGGCGGAAUAAGUUAAGUAGCGGUGAAAGGCUUAGAUAUAACUUAGAACCCCGAUAGCGAAGGCAGCUUACCAGACUGUUACUGACGCUGAUGCACGAGAGCGUGGGUAGCGAACAGGAUUAGAUACCCGGGUAGUC
rnacentral:rRNA from 1 species